GAUGAACGCUGGCGGCGUGCCUAAUACAUGCCAGUCGAGCGAACAGACGAGGAGCUUGCUCCUCUGACGUUAGCGGCGGACGGGUGAGUAACACGUGGAUAACCUACCUAUAAGACUGGGAUAACUUCGGGAAACCGGAGCUAAUACCGGAUAAUAUAUUGAACCGCAUGGUUCAAUAGUGAAAGACGGUUUUGCUGUCACUUAUAGAUGGAUCCGCGCCGCAUUAGCUAGUUGGUAAGGUAACGGCUUACCAAGGCAACGAUGCGUAGCCGACCUGAGAGGGUGAUCGGCCACACUGGAACUGAGACACGGUCCAGACUCCUACGGGAGGCAGCAGUAGGGAAUCUUCCGCAAUGGGCGAAAGCUUGACGGAGCAACGCCGCGUGAGUGAUGAAGGUUUUCGGAUCGUAAAACUCUGUUAUUAGGGAAGAACAAAUGUGUAAGUAACUAUGCACGUCUUGACGGUACCUAAUCAGAAAGCCACGGCUAACUACGUG
rnacentral:rRNA from 1 species